rnacentral:rRNA from 1 species
UAUACAAAGGUAUUGAAAUAAGAUUUUAAAUGAGUGCUAWGAGARUGAUUGAACAAUUAUAGGCUUUCUUUAGUUAAAUAMUUAWAUUUAAUUUUUUUUAGUGCAAAAGCAAAAAUUAAMUUUAGGGACAAGAAGACCCUAUGAAUUUUAAUUUAAUUUAUAAUUUGAAAUUUUAAAUUAAAUUUGAUUGGGGCGAUGGAAAAAGAAUGAGUAUCUUUUUUAGUUWUAAAAAUUGGYUCCGYUUUWAACGAUUAAAUGAGAAAAAUACUCUAGGGA